rnacentral:rRNA from 1 species
UGAUGAAGGUCUUAGGAUUGUAAAAUUCUUUCACCGGGGACGAUAAUGACGGUACCCGGAGAAGAAGCCCCGGCUAACUUCGUGCCAGCAGCCGCGGUAAUACGAAGGGGGCUAGCGUUGCUCGGAAUUACUGGGCGUAAAGGGAGCGUAGGCGGAUAGUUUAGUCAGAGGUGAAAGCCCAGGGCUCAACCUUGGAAUUGCCUUUGAUACUGGCUAUCUUGAGUAUGGAAGAGGUAUGUGGAACUCCUGAGUGUAUGAGGUGAAAUUCGUAGAUAUUCGGAAGAACACCAGUGGCGAAGGCGACAUACUGGUCCAUUACUGACGCUGAGGCUCGAAAGCGUGGGGAGCAAACAGGAUUAGAUAUCCUGGUAGUCCACGCCGUAAACGAUGAGUGCUAGUUGUCGUCAUGCAUGCAUGUCGGUGACACAGCUAACGCAUUAAGCACUCCGCCUGGGGAGUACGGUCGCAAGAUUAAAACUCAAAGGAAUUGACGGGGGCCCGCACAAGCGGUGGAGCAUGUGGUUUAUAUUCGAAGCAACGCGCAAGAACCAUUACCACCUUUUGACAUGCCCGGACCACCAGAGAGAUCUGGCUUUCCCUUCGGGGACUGGACACAGG